rnacentral:rRNA from 1 species
CCUACGGGCGGCAGCAGUAGGGAAUCUUCCACAAUGGGCGAAAGCCUGAUGGAGCAACGCCGCGUGGGUGAAGAAGGUCUUCGGAUCGUAAAACCCUGUUGUUAGAGAAGAAAGUGCGUGAGAGUAACUGUUCACGUUUCGACGGUAUCUAACCAGAAAGCCACGGCUAACUACGUGCCAGCAGCCGCGGUAAUACGUAGGUGGCAAGCGUUAUCCGGAUUUAUUGGGCGUAAAGGGAACGCAGGCGGUCUUUUCAGUCUGAUGUGAAAGCGUUCGGCUUAACCGGAGUAGUGCAUUGGAAACUGGGAGAAUUGAGUGCAGAAGAGGAGAGUGGAACUCCAUGUGUAGCGGUGAAAUGCGUAGAUAUAUGGAAGAACACCAGUGGCGAAGGCGGCUCUCUGGUCUGUAACUGACGCUGAGGUUCGAAAGCGUGGGUAGCAAACAGGAUUAGAUACCCCAGUAGUC